rnacentral:rRNA from 1 species
UACGUAGGGUGCGAGCGUUAAUCGGAAUUACUGGGCGUAAAGCGUGCGCAGGCUGUUCUGUAAGUCGGAUGUGAAAUCCCCGAGCUCAACUUGGGAACUGCGUUUGAACUACAGGACUAGAAUAUGUCAGAGGGGGGUAGAAUUCCACGUGUAGCAGUGAAAUGCGUAGAGAUGUGGAGGAAUACCGAUGGCGAAGGCAGCCCCCUGGGAUAACACUG